CAGAGAGUAGUUUAAAAAAUAUUAAUUUUGGAAAUUAAAGAUAAAGAAUUUUCUUUUUCUCUGA
rnacentral:tRNA from 1 species